GUGGGCGCCAUCUUAACUCAGGGCAGAACCUGUGCUCUUGAGCCUGCAAUACUAGGAGAAAAGAAGCGGCAACCAUGUUUUGUGUGUGAGGGCAAUCGGGCCGAAGCCAAGAAGAGCGCCAUAUUUGUUGAGGCCUAAAAGUGACAUCAUUCCCAUCAGCUGUUUGGGCUAUCUGGAGCCAUCUCCUUGACAACAGCCAUCCAGUCACAAAGACAGCAUUAUUACUUCCUUGGAAGAGGGCAUUCUGCAUGGCUGGAAGUGGUGCUGUGAAAAGUUUUGUAAAUAAGCUCUAUGUCCCACAAAGGGAAACCUGCACAUUCCAAAUUGAUGCUAGUAUUUCACUGAGACCUGGAGAAGGAAAAGAAAACCUCCACUGUGAUACCAUAGGUUAAAAGCAAGAUUAAGAUGACUGCCUUAAAAUUCUGCAGCUGACAAAUUUGCAUUGGAAUCUGUUAUUUCUCUGCUUCAAAGAAAAUGCUCUUUGUCAUGUGGCCUAUUAUGUAGAACCUAGACAAAUAGUUUAUUUUUUUAAUCAACCCCCCCAAAACCCCCAAAUCUCCACCCAGAUAUUUACAACUCCCAACAGUGAUGAAAUUACAAUUGUGACAUAGCAACAAAAA